AUCCAUUUCAUUUAGCAAAUAGUGUUGGUCCCAGGAAAAAGCACCAAGCCUGGGAAUCCCUGCCACAAUGACAGAAUCACAUUCAACAGCUGCUUCCAGCAUAGGAUGCAAUCCCCGCCGCCAGCAUCCCUCCCACCUCCAGAAAUAGUAAACAUCUGCCAAGAGAGAGCCCCAUUAGUAAAAUUCCCACCUUCUAAGGGUCAUCGAUUGGCUUUCUUCUGAGCUUCCUGCCUGCUUCCCUCAUCUCUGCAGCCUGUUAGAGCCUGCCACGACCGCGUGGGCAACCCCUAGCUGCAGUUUCUUUCCUCUUCUCUGCCCUCAGCACUUUCCCCUCCAGGAGCACAACUCUGAGCUGUCAUUCCUGUCAACCAGAUGGGAGAUCAGCCACAAAGCUGCUCCGCCUCUCGCAAGGACAGGAACUCUUGUGGCAGGCAGGCUUUCGGGGCGGCUCCAAGAGGGACUUCACUGCAGCCAGCGUGGAGCAGGAUGCUGACAGCAGAGUGGCUCCAGUGAGCUGCCAUUCCAGAUGUCAGGAACAAGCUCACAGACUGAGUGAAGCCGAGAAGGAUUGCAAACACCAGUGAGAAAGGGCUGGGAGACAACAGUGACGGAGAAGAGGAGCAGGCUUUCAGGCGAUAAGGUGGCUGUGAACUGCUUUGAAAUGAGGACAGGCCUCCUGGGAGGAGGGAAGAAUGCACCGAAGCAUGCACUGAUGAAAGUUUCUAUCCAAAGACCCAGAGCCACACUGCUCUUCAUGGAAUGGGGCUGUAUCCUGGCUCAACAACCACAGCAUUUUCACACUUAACAAAAGAAAAGGUUACAGUUUCCUGAGAUCAACUGCGGUCUGAAAAUCGAAGUCUUCAAUCAACACAACUGAGCUGAGACUCCUCUAGAAGAGAGCUAUCAGGGUCCUGACAGACAGCUGGUGAGGUGCAGAAUGACAUGAGUGAGGGGCUUGGCGCUGACGUGAAGGUUGAGGAGGCAGUCACCGGAACCCCACGCAGGCUAGAGCUGUGACCGACAGAAACGACGAUGUGUGUUCCUAGAGGCUUAGGCAGUGCCAGAGAAAUCACUCAGUGCCAGCUGGCUCCUGCAUGAAUGCUUCUCUAGACAAGCUGACCUUUGCUACUUAGUAGGGUGUACGUUGCCUCUAAGCCCAUUUCCAAUUUACUGACACCUGGUGGAUUUUUAUUCACCACUGAGCUCUGGCCCGAAGAGAGCUGCCAAACGUCCUAGGCCAUCCAUUCACUCAGCACUUAUAAUCGUGAUAGUCACCACCCAUGAAAGCUUUAGGACCUGUUUCAGUGUUUCUGCAUCGUGUCGCCUGAGGGCUUUCUUCUGUGACCAGAAACUGCUCUGCCCCCAAGCAGCACUGGCCUGGAACUGGAGAAUUAAAGACCUCCCUAAUCCCACACGCAAACUUUGAUGUGAUUGGCAUAUAAGUAUCUUAGCACCCUAGUAUCAUGAGUUACAUGGCGCUGAGGCACAUAUUCCACGCUGGGCCCAGCACUUCCCAGAGGGACUGAGUCCCAGGGUGGCAUCUCACUUGGUGAUGUGCCUUGUACUGGUUACCUUCCCUUCCCAUGUCAGCUCACUCUUCUACUGGCGUGUGCUGGAAUCACCUCCCAAACCAACUAUUUAAAUCUUUGCUUCUGGAGAGACCCCAACUAAAAUAAUAUGUAUUUGCUCUAAGUAGUUUGAUACAGAGCAGAUAAUGAAAAACAGGAGCUGACAAUUAUAAAGUGGAAUUCUUGAGCAAGUGGUAAGCUCCAUUUCUUAGCCUUCUACACCCUCCUCCUCACAACACCAGAGUCAAGAAUUCCUGUCUCCUAAGGAAAUGUCUCUUAUGGCUUGGGUGGAUGCUGUUGUAGGGGUAUGAAACAAGCCAGUUCCCUUAGCCAGUGAGUAUGCACUGGCUGUUUAGAAUGUGCCCAACAGGCGCCAGCCUCUGGAGAGGUCAUUAAUAGCCUCGGGCAUGGUCCCUGCCUCAAGUUGGAGAGUUAGGGCUCAUGAAGUAAGGAGCAAUACAUUUCCAGCCCGUGCUGUUUGACAGCAGUACUUUUCAACACUCGGCCACAUGUGCUGAAGCCUGCUGGUGUCUGCCCAGGUCCCCUCGACUGGAGGGGACCCUGUGCCCCCUCUAGAGCAUUGAUGAGUAACUCACAGCUGUCUCUCCAGAGAGUCAUCCUUGGCCAAACCUUCAUGUGGGCAGCUACCACCCACCACACCAGCCCCUCUUCCAGAUCAGACCUCAGCAAACCUGACUGGCCUAGGGAUACAGAAGACCAGCCUCUUGCGUCCACGUGGGACCAAGUCUGCAGUGUGACUUGUGCUCCAGAACUCUCCCACAGGCUCAGCCUGAAGUCAGGCUCCAGCGAAGCCCAUCCCUGCCUGGCUUCUCUCCACAGUCCUAUUCUGCUGCCCUGACUCCUCUUCCCUAAGGGCUAUUGCCCAGCGAAGCCCAUGGUCUCAGACUGGGCUUCAAAGAAACCUGACUCCAUGUUAGCAUCUUCUGCGGAGUUUUAUAAAAACACAUACACCUGAACUUAACCACCUAGACUUACUGAGCCAGAAGCUAUAGAGCUUCAAGAGUGGGAACCAGACAACUGUAUGCUUUAAAGCCUAAUAGAUAUUUCUAAUUCACCAGUUUAUCUCUCAACUUUUCAUUUUGAAAAUGCCAAACUUACAGAAAUAAUGAAAGUAUAAUGUAGUGAUAAAUAUCUACAUACUCAGCAUCUAGAUAUACCAAUUAUUAAUAUUUUGCUCCAUUUUCCUCUCUCUCUCUCACAUAUCAAAAAUAAUUUGCAAGUAAAUUGUAGACAUUAUGACACUUUAUCCUUCAGUUCUUCAGCAGAUAUUAUCCAAGAAUAAAGACAUUCUCCUACAUAACCCCAGUGUCAUAAUCACCCACAGGAAAUUAAUACUAACUUGUUAACAUCCCCAGAGCAUACAGUCCAUAGUUAAGAUGUACCCUCUGUUUUAGGCCAAAGGUGGCAAUUUUCUCAACUUUAGACUCAACAGAAGUUUGGAGAAGGGAAAAAUCUGUAUGAGUUGAAUAGAAAGGAAAAUACUUCAUGGAGGAAAGAGGAUAAGAAUUGGGCUGUGAAGGAUUGACAUUAGAAAGAAGGGGUGGAGCAAAUGCUCAGAUAGAAGCAGGUAAAUACCUAUGCAAACAUGCAGACAUGGGCAUUGGAAUUGCCUUUUGUGGGAGGAGAAGACUGAGCAGAAUUUGUGGACUAGGAUAGGUAGGCUGUGCAGCUGGACAGGCCUCAUGCAAUCUGAGUACAGAGAAAUUGCCAAUCCAAGCAAUCAAAAAAACAGUGGCCACACACCAAGAAACGUUAAAGGUGACUGCACUUAGGAGAGUGGCAUCAGAUUUGUGGGACACAUUCAGGUGAAUUCUAGUCAGGACCAUGGCAAAGCAUUUGGGGUCAGAAUUAAACUGGGGAGUUAAUUACUGAUUGAAAUUCAUUUAUUCAUAUAUUCGUUCUACCAGCAUUUUCUGAGUACAUAUUAUGUGCCAAAAUACCAAUGUGAACACAGGAAAUAAAGCACUGAAAAAACAGACAAGGUCCUUGCUUUCAUGAAACUUAGGUAGGGGUGUGUGUGUGUGUGCGCGUGUGUGUGUGUGUUGGUUGAGUGGG
rnacentral:lncRNA from 1 species